rnacentral:rRNA from 1 species
GGAGCCGUAGCGAAAGCGAGUUUUAACUGAGCGUUCAGUUACUUGACGUAGACCCGAAACCGGGCGACCUACCCAUGAGCAGGAUGAAGCGAAAGUAAAAUUUCGUGGAGGUCCGAACCCACGAGCGUUGAAAAGCUCGGGGAUGACUUGUGGGUAGCGGUGAAAUUCCAAUCGAGCCCGGAGAUAGCUGGUUCUCCCCGAAAUAGCUUUAGGGCUAGCCUCAAGGUGAGAGAUACGGAGGUAGAGCACUGAAUGUCCUAGGGGGUAUUGCACCUACCGAAGACUAUCAAACUCCGAAUGCCGUCAUCUUAUACUUGGGAGUCAGACUGUGGGUGAUAAGAUUCAUAGUCGAAAGGGCAACAGCCCAGAUCGUCAGCUAAGGUCCCUAAAUGUAAGUUAAGUGGUAAAGGAUGUGGGAUUGCACAGACAACCAGGAUGUUGGCUUAGAAGCAGCCACUCAUUCAAAGAGUGCGUAAUAGCUCACUGGUCGAGUGAUCCUGCGCCGAAGAUUUCCGGGGCUAAAACUUACUACCGAAGCUACGGCAUCAGUAAUGAUGGGUAGGGGAGCUUCCCAUACGGGUUGAAGCAUGACCGUAAGGACAUGUGGACAGUAUGGGAGUGAGAAUGUUGGCAUGAGUAGCGAGAUGUGGGU